rnacentral:rRNA from 1 species
GCAUGCCUCUGCUACACAUGCAGUCGAGCGGUAGCACAGAGAGCUUGCUCUCGGGUGACGAGCGGCGGACGGGUGAGUAAUGUCUGGGAAACUGCCUGAUGGAGGGGGAUAACUACUGGAAACGGUAGCUAAUACCGCAUAACGUCGCAAGACCAAAGUGGGGGACCUUCGGGCCUCAUGCCAUCAGAUGUGCCCAGAUGGGAUUAGCUAGUAGGUGGGGUAACGGCUCACCUAGGCGACGAUCCCUAGCUGGUCUGAGAGGAUGACCAGCCACACUGGAACUGAGACACGGUCCAGACUCCUACGGGAGGCAGCAGUGGGGAAUAUUGCACAAUGGGCGCAAGCCUGAUGCAGCCAUGCCGCGUGUAUGAAGAAGGCCUUCGGGUUGUAAAGUACUUUCAGCGGGGAGGAAGGCGAUAAGGUUAAUAACCUUGUCGAUUGACGUUACCCGCAGAAGAAGCACCGGCUAACUCCGUGCCAGCAGCCGCGGUAAUACGGAGGGUGCAAGCGUUAAUCGGAAUUACUGGGCGUAAAGCGCACGCAGGCGGUCUGUCAAGUCGGAUGUGAAAUCCCCGGGCUCAACCUGGGAACUGCAUUCGAAACUGGCAGGCUAGAGUCUUGUAGAGGGGGGUAGAAUUCCAGGUGUAGCGGUGAAAUGCGUAGAGAUCUGGAGGAAUACCGGUGGCGAAGGCGGCCCCCUGGACAAAGACUGACGCUCAGGUGCGAAAGCGUGGGGAGCAAACAGGAUUAGAUACCCUGGUAGUCCACGCCGUAAACGAUGUCGAUUUGGAGGUUGUGCCCUUGAGGCGUGGCUUCCGGAGCUAACGCGUUAAAUCGACCGCCUGGGGAGUACGGCCGCAAGGUUAAAACUCAAAUGAAUUGACGGGGGCCCGCACAAGCGGUGGAGCAUGUGGUUUAAUUCGAUGCAACGCGAAGAACCUUACCUGGUCUUGACAUCCACAGAACUUGCCAGAGAUGGCUUGGUGCCUUCGGGACUGUGAGACAGUGCUGCAUGGCUGUCGUCAGCUCGUGUUGUGAAUGUUGGGUUAAGUCCCGCAACGAGCGCACCCUUAUCCUUUGUUGCAGCGGUUAGCCGGCACUCAAGGAUACUGCCAGUGAUAACCUGAAGAAGUGGAUGACGUCAGUCAUCAUGGUCCUUACGACCAGGGCCUACACACCG